GACGAACGCUGGCGGCGCGCCUAACACAUGCAAGUCGAACGGAGCUGAGAGAAGCUUGCUUUUCUUAGCUUAGUGGCGAACGGGUGAGUAACGCGUGAGUAACCUGCCCUGGAGUGGGGGACAACAGUUGGAAACGACUGCUAAUACCGCAUAAGCCCACGAUCCGGCAUCGGAUUGAGGGAAAAGGAUUUAUUCGCUUCAGGAUGGACUCGCGUCCAAUUAGCUAGUUGGUGAGGUAACGGCCCUCCAAGGCGACGAUUGGUAGCCGGACUGAGAGGUUGAACGGCCACAUUGGGACUGAGACACGGCCCAGACUCCUACGGGAGGCAGCAGUGGGGGAUAUUGCACAAUGGGGGAAACCCUGAUGCAGCGACGCCGCGUGGAGGAAGAAGGUUUUCGGAUUGUAAACUCCUGUCGUUAGGGACGAUAAUGACGGUACCUAACAAGAAAGCACCGGCUAACUACGUG
rnacentral:rRNA from 1 species